GGAUUAAAAUUUAUUUUCAUUUUGCAAAAACGUACACGGUAAGACUUACAUUUCCGCCAAAAAGCAAAUGCCCACGUAAGAAAUUUUCCAAGACCAAAAAAAUAAAAAGAAACACACUUAAGAAAUUUUUCACUCACAUCAGCUAAGAUAAACCUAGAAGCUCUUGCUUCGGCGUUGUUCUCGCUACACAGUAAGCUUAAAUUUUACGCUUAAAUUUUACUUGUUUUAGCUUUGCUGCAACCAAAAUUGCUGCACAAGAAACUUUAUCAAGUGCGACUAUAGUCAAUCGCAGUGGGAAAGGAGCAUUUGGUUCUCAACUUGAAGAGUCCCAGUUUAAUGCCCUACAAAAGGCACCAUGGAUGAUGAAAUCGACGAACGUGAGUCAUGGGAAGCGAUCAAGCCACACUUCAAAAAAAAUAAAUUUGUGGAGCUCAUCCUCUCUUGAGUUAUUAUUACCCUCUCACAGCCAUUCACGAUGAAGUAUGCACCUUCAUCAUAUGGACACUCUCACUUUGCAAUCUUUUCUUGUGGGUCAAGCCCAUUGAGCACGCAGCAAGAUGAUCGAACCAUUAUGGGAACCUACAAGAUUGGUAAAUCAUUAAAAUUAACAACAAACUACAGGUUAUAAGAGAUGGUUGGCAAGCUAGAACCUUCCCAAUGGGAACUCCUAUGUACUUCUUAGUUCUUUCUUGUGUAUUCUCAAUCCCUUGUAUGAUCACUUUUUUGGUGAUAUCCAUGAAACAAGGGCGAUGAAUAAGUGAGUCCGCGGAGUCUACAAUCCAUGGGAUCCAAAUAAGUGAUAACACUAUCAGCCUCUUCCACUUUGGGUUCCUCCGGAAAAUGAAUAUUUCCAACAUCUAUCUGGUAAACAACCUACAUAAAGAAAAUGUUAGUUAAGUUGUUCAUAGAUUAAUAAAGUUUGUUUUUUUUUCCUUAUCAACAAAAAAAAGGGAUACAUAGAGCUCUAACCUCUCUAGUUUCAAUCUUGAAUGUGCGAGUUGUGGCACAUUCUUGUAGAACUCAUUAAAAGAAGGGUAAAGUGUCAAAAAUAUCCUCUACUUUGAAAAAAGGCUAAAAAUAUCCCCCGAACUUAUUUUGGAUAAAAAAUACCCCUCCCAUUCUUAAAGUUUUCAAAUAUACUCCUGUCUUGAUGGAAAUUAUCCCCCAAAAUAACCCGAAAUUAUUUUUUAAACCUGCUCCAUCAUUUAAACCCGACCCAACUAAAUAA